UUUAGUAUCUUGAACCUUAUUGCCAAUUCUUCUGCAUAAUAGUUGAUGAAAACUUGCAGGAUUUUUAGUUUUUUGUUUUCUUUCCAUUUUCAUGUGUUUACCAAUUUUAUACUCCCUCCGUCUCAUUAGCUGUCGCUGAAAUUGAUGUAUCUAGACAACUAAUAUGAGACAGAGGAAACAUAGCUUACCAAUUAUUUUAGAGCUCUGAGCUCAAAAGCAUUUAAAAAGCUUGUUUUCCCAUACAAGCUGCACACAGAGAGGCAUUUGGUUUUAUCUUAAGCUAGAUAGCGUAAAAAAAAGCUUAGAUAAAACCUGCAAUUAUAUUAUGCUUUCGCAAACAGCUUUAAGAUUUUCUUUUUAAAAAUAUAUAUCAUCUGCUAUGUAGG
rnacentral:lncRNA from 1 species